rnacentral:rRNA from 1 species
UACGUAGGGUGCAAGCGUUGUCCGGAAUUAUUGGGCGUAAAGAGCUCGUAGGCGGUCUGUCGCGUCUGCUGUGAAAACUCAGGGCUUAACCCUGAGCUUGCAGUGGGUACGGGCAGACUAGAGUGCGGUAGGGGAGACUGGAAUUCCUGGUGUAGCGGUGAAAUGCGCAGAUAUCAGGAGGAACACCGGUGGCGAAGGCGGGUCUCUGGGCCGAUACUGACGCUGAGGAGCGAAAGCGUGGGUAGCAAACAGG